UUCAUGGUCUCCAGCACUGGAAUCAAUAGUUCCCAUUCGUUGCAACAAAAGCAUUCCAUUUCGGUUGGCAUUAGAUUGCACUAUCCACAGCUAUACCACCAUCCUCCGGACAUUCUGGGUAAACGUUGACUGUCCUUUGGUGAAUAUCAUUGACGAAACAGGAAAAAUCUAUAAAACACCCCCUGCAGCUACAUCAGAACUGCUGCCAUGGCAAUGGCAAUGGAAUCACUGCUGUGCCACCACAGAAUAGCUGCUCACAGACACUCACCUUUCCAGAUGACUCUUGAUUGACAGGUUUAGGAAACCCUGUCAUCUUAACUCCCGGGGGUCGAGCCCUGUUCAUGAACCUCUGACGGUGGAAAUGUUCCAGUCAAAGAGGUGGACAAAUAUUUUUCUACUGGCUGACAGCCACUUCCCAAACAACACUGCCAGCCAAGAGGAGAUAACAAACACUACCCUACCUGCAAC